GAUUCUCUUCCCCCAUAACUUUUCCGCUUCGUUUCUCCAAUCUCUGAGUUCGAGUUUUGCGUAACCUUUAAACUCUUCUUCAAUUUUUCUUUCUACCUCCCUAUGAUUCUUCAUCUUUCAAAUCCAGACGUUUCAUGAUUUUAUCAUUCACUUGCUAUAAAUUAGGACCAUACCCACGAACCCUCACCACCCCAAACCAAGUCCUUUGCAGUUCUUAUUUUCUAUUCCUUUUCCGUCAUGGCUUACGUCGAUUUUGUCACAGCAUACUUUACAGUCGAUCUUUACCGUUGUUUUCUCAAGAGAUUGUCUGGGACUCAUCCAUCACUGGGAUUAUUAGGUUUGUAAUCUACCUUGCCUGUUCAAUCGCUAUUAAUCUCGAUACCAAGAGCUUCUCGCGGAUAAACAUUUGUUUUUUCCAGGUUCUGAUUGCAUCGCCUCCAAAGAAAAUACUCAGAAAAUACUCAGGAGCUGGAAGAGGAACUUGAAGCUUCUCAGCCAAAUAUAGUUGUAAGAAAUUAAAGCUUUCUGUAUUUCUUACAAUGUCCGGUACACCCACUACGUAUUUGUUUCUUUUAUAUCAUGAAGCCUGAAAACAAUAAGUUGUGAUUGGUUUAUACGUAUAUAAAUAUGUGUUUUAUGUUGACUUGUGGUCCGAGAGAGAGAGAGAGAGAGAGAGAGAGAGAGAGAGAGAGAGAGAGAGAGAGAGAGAGAGAGAGAGAGAGAGAAGGUUUUACAAUAAGCUGCUAUUCAUCCGGUGAGUCUCCUCUUCUCAUGGACGAUGGGAAAACAUGGGAGAACGAGCUUUUGGAUGGAGAAGAGAAGCGGUAGGUAAUAUUGGAUGUUAUCAGCGAGGAAGCUGGAGCAUUGGCCACUGCUGACGGAACCAAGAGCUUCAACUCAAGUAUCAUUUAAACUAAUGCUCUUCAGGAUUUUUUAAAGAAAGAUUGUUUUUAAAAAAUCCAUCUGUUGCAGCAGUGUCAGUUGUGGUUGUUAUAGAUAAGAGUGAUGGUAAGAAGUAAUAGAAAUAGUUUAGAAGGAUCUUCUGUUAACAACGGUAUCAUUGUCUCGGGGAUUGCUCGAAAGCUUCCUCCACUGUGUCGUCCAUGCAAACAAUUGUUAACCUCUUCGGGUUCGAGGAGGAAGUUGAUGUCUGCGGUUGAUUAUGAGAGGUUAAAGAUUCAGAACGAAGUGGAACAGUUGAGAGAAAGCUUAAAAGUUGUUCAAGAGGAAAGAAAAGAGCUUACAAGACGAGCAUCUUUGCCUCCUUUGUCAUCAAAGGUUAGGGUUACGUCAAAGAAUCGAGGUUCGAGAAGAUCUUCCAUGGAUCUUCACUCUUCUUGAAACUUUUUAGACAUAUGUUUUUUUUUUGAGCAAAAUUUAGACAUAUGUUUGUGUGUAUAGUUCUGAUGAUUAUGUGUUUGUAUAUCACUUUUAUGGUGAUACUGUAAUACCAUCAAAAAUCAUAGUUUUGGUUGCUUUAUGCUA